rnacentral:rRNA from 1 species
AACGAACGCUGGCGGCAGGCCUAACACAUGCAAGUCGAACGGUCUCUUCGGAGAUAGUGGCGGACGGGUGAGUAACGCGUGGGAACGUGCCCUUAGGUGCGGAACAACAUCUGGAAACGGAUGCUAAUACCGCAUGAUGUCUACGGACCAAAGAUUUAUCGCCUAGGGAUCGGCCCGCGUUGGAUUAGGUAGUUGGUGGGGUAAUGGCCUACCAAGCCUGCGAUCCAUAGCUGGUCUGAGAGGAUGAUCAGCCACACUGGGACUGAGACACGGCCCAGACUCCUACGGGAGGCAGCAGUGGGGAAUCUUCGGCAAUGGGGGCAACCCUGACCGAGCCAUGCCGCGUGAUCGAUGACGGUCUUAGGAUUGUAAAGAUCUUUCGCCUGUGAUGAUAAUGACAGUAACAGGAGAAGAAGCCCCGGCUAACUUCG